rnacentral:lncRNA from 1 species
CCUUUGUCCCGUGUGCUCUGGAGAUUGCAUCCCACGCAGGCAGCCCCCUUCCGUACAAGAGAGGCUGGCGGUUACCUUUCUUGGGGAGACGCGUCCGACUGCUUCAUUGUGGGGGCCUCAGGAGCGGAGGAUCGGGUCCCGCCCGAGGUGACGCGUAAACCCAGACUCUCAGCAACGCGGGUAGGAAGGACCCUUGAAGUUCCGCGGCGACCACGGAACUGUGCCUUCGAUCUCCACAGUCGGCUGAAACCAGCAGCCCAGGACAAGUGGACCAGCCAGCAAGACCCAGACCAUCCAAACCGGCUGAUCCUACGACAGGACCCAGAUGCCAGUGAAAGUGACCACAGCCCUGCUCUAGUCACCCCGGAAGCUGACCAGUCUACGCACGGCCGAAGCUUCGUCAAGGAAGUAAAUGUAGUUAGAAAUCUUAAGCCCAGUAAUUUUCCUUGUCAUCUUAAUUGUUUUACUAUUAACCUGUCGCUUUGCUCAACCCCCUCCUCUGGGCAAACAUCUCUUGUCCAUCCUAGGUACAAACAUGCUACUCUUCCCUUUGUUCUUGCUGCUCUCGCUAGAUCUAUGUCAGAAGGAGGGAUAUGCGGAGAGUUUAAUUUAACUAAUUGUUGCCUAAAAAUCGAUGACAAUGAGGAGGACGUCAUGAAUUAAUUGCGAGAAUGCGAGACUUAGCUCAUGUUCCAACACAAACCUGGAAACCGGAAUGGUCUCCAGGUUCCCCCCGCCCCCCCGUGGUUGGUUUUCAUCCCUCGGGGGAUUUAAAACCUUACUAGGAGUAGUUCUGGCCAUACUGGGAGUCCGCCUCGUACUCUUGUCUCUUCCCCUCCUUGUCAAGAAUAUCGACAAAGCCAGAGACGCUCGUGUGGACAGGCCGAGUACCACCGAGCUCAUCCCAUAACUACGUGUCCACCCCUGCCAGGAAAAGAGCUACUUCCCCCUGUAGAAGUAAAUAAAAAAUAGUGAUGCUUUCUAUUAAACCUUAUUUAUAAAAAGCAUCAAGGAGGGAAUAAAGCGGAAAUUGAAGAAACG